CUACGGGGUGCUGCAGUGAGGAAUAUUGCACAAUGGGGGAAACCCUGAUGCAGCAACGCCGCGUGGAGGAUGACGCAUUUCGGUGUGUAAACUCCUUUUAUCAGAGAAGAAAAUGACGGUAUCUGAUGAAUAAGCUCCGGCUAACUCCGCGCCAGCAGCCGCGGUAAUACGGAGGGAGCAAGCGUUAUUCGGAAUCACUGGGCGUAAAGGACGCGUAGGCGGGUUUUUAAGUCAGGUGUGAAAUCCUAUGGCUCAACCAUAGAACUGCACUUGAAACUGGGGACCUAGAGUAUGGAAGGGGCAGGUGGAAUUAGUGGUGUAGGGGUAAAAUCCGUAGAUAUCACUAGGAAUACCGAAAGCGAAGGCGACCUGCUGGGACAUUACUGACGCUGAGGCGUGAAAGCGUGGGGAGCAAACAGGAUUAGAUACCCGAGUAGUC
rnacentral:rRNA from 1 species